GGGGCAGUAGUUCAGCGGGAGAACGCAUCCUUCGCACGGAUGAGGUCAGGGGUUCAAUCCCCCUCUGCUCCGCCA
rnacentral:tRNA from 1 species